rnacentral:tRNA from 1 species
UCCCUGGGGGCUCAGACGGUAAAGCGUCUGUCUGCAAUGCGGGAGACCCGGGUUCAAUUCCUGGGUCGGGAA